rnacentral:rRNA from 1 species
CUACGGGAUGCAGCAGUGGGGAAUAUUGCACAAUGGGGGAAACCCUGAUGCAGCAACGCCGCGUGGAGGAUGACGCAUUUCGGUGUGUAAACUCCUUUUAUAUGUCAAGAAAAUGACGGUAGCAUAUGAAUAAGCACCGGCUAACUCCGUGCCAGCAGCCGCGGUAAUACGGAGGGUGCAAGCGUUACUCGGAAUCACUGGCGUAAAGGACGCGUAGGCGGGUUGGAAAGUCAGGUGUGAAAUCCUACAGCUUAACUGUAGAACUGCACUUGAAACUUCUAAUCUAGAGUAUGGGAGGGGGAGAUGGAAUUAGUGGUGUAGGGGUAAAAUCCGUAGAUAUCACUAGGAAUACCUAAAGCGAAGGCGAUCUCCUGGAACAUUACUGACGCUAAGGCGUGAAAGCGUGGGGAGCAAACAGGAUUAGAUACCCCAGUAGUC